rnacentral:lncRNA from 1 species
CGUAGUACAGGAGAUAUGUUUUCACAAAAACAACAGUAUUAUUAAAAAAAUAAAAGGAAAGGAAAGAGAAAAUAAAAAUAAAAAUGAGAAAUGAGGCAAGACUCCCCGUAGAAGCAAGACAAACAUCUAAAAUCUUCUUUUUAUUAUUACACUGGGAUCCUUGAGUAGGAAUCGAGAUUACAAGGUAAAAAAGAAAAAUGAACGAAAUGUGUGAAAAAUACAUAUAACAUAAAAAGAGAAGAGAAGGUGGACAUGAUGAUAUUCUAGUUUCAAAGAAUGGCUUGAUAGACACGGGUUUUAUUUAUGAUAGCUGCUCCAAGGUUUGAAGCCUCCUGUAGAAGGAUAUGUGGACAGGUCCCAGAGGAUGCUCCCCGGAGUAGGAUUUACCCUGACCCUCCUAAUCAAGUUAGAUCAGAACUUGAUGAGGGCAUCCAGGAGCCAAAGUGCCUCCUCAACCAACAGGAUAGAAGAAUAGGUGCAACUUCCUAGAAGGAUAAGAGGAGGGAUGAAUGGGGGAUCCAUCAUCCAUUAUCAUCAACUUAGACCCCAACAUAUCCCAAAGUAGUAACCAAACUAAUCACCAUGCUAGGUAUUCCGGGUUAAAGGAAUUAUAAACAUGGUUGGCUAUACGAGAAUUACAAACUAUGCUGCACGAUUUUGGGAAGAGCCCUAUUAAGGUCUCCUUAAGGCAAAGAAAGUUGUUUUGAGAAGAAAGAUGUGGCUAGGUUUGGAUCGGUAGGAAUUGCUUCCUUUUAUAAAAAGAAUAAUGGAAGCUGAAAAGGUGCGGAUGCAGCCGAUACCUACUAAGUAGAUGGUUGAAAUGCUAUGUAGAGACCAAAGUGACCUAUUCAACUCUUCGCUUUCCUAGGCAGGGCAGCCUCAAAAUUGG